GCACUGGUGGUUCAGUGGUAGAAUUCUCGCCUGCCACGCGGGAGACCGGGGUUCGAUUCCCCGCCAGUGCA
rnacentral:tRNA from 1 species